AGCUCAACAUUGCUAAUCAUCUUACCACAGUUAGAAUGACUAUUACUGAAAAAGACCAAAAAAAUACCAUAUGAUCCACCAAUCCCACUACCGGGUAUUUAUUUAUCCAAAAGAAAAGAAUAGAGCUCCAGCAAGAAAAACAGUGGAUUACAGUUAAAAGAGAUACAUGACACAGACCCUCUCUGAGGAGGACUACUUAGGGAAGCCCAAGUCAAAAGGGAGGGCCACAAAUACAGCAGAAGAAUUUGGAGCUAAGAACCAAAAGAAACUGCUAGAAAUAGUCAACAUCGUAACAGAAAUGAAGAAUGCCUUCGAUGGGGUCAUCAUUAGAACAAACAUGGCCAAGGAGAGUAGUAUCAGUGAGCUUUAAGAUAUGUCAAUAGAAACCUAUCAAACUGAAAAAAGUGGGAGGCAAACAUCCAAGAACUGUGGGACAAUUUCAAAAUGUGUAACUUAUCAUAACGGGAGUAUCAGAAACAAAAGAAAGGGAAAGCAGAGAAGAAAGAAGUAAUAAUGGCUGACAACUUUUCGAAAUUAAUGACAGACACCAAACCACAGACCCAGGAAGCUCAGAGAACACCAAAAAUAAAUACCACCCUCACCAAAAAAAAUCUACACCUAUGCAUUUCAUAUUCAAUCUGUAGAAAGGCAAAGACAACGAGAAAUUUUUGAAAGAAGUCAGAGAAAAAACAUAUUACCUAUAGAAGAAAAGAAUAAAAUUAUGGCAGACUUCUUGUGAGAAACUAGGUAAGCCAGAAGAAAGUGGAGUGAAAUAUUUAAAAUGUUGAAAGAAAAAAGCCAGCCAACCUGCCCUGCAAGAAAUGGGAAGUUCUUCAGGCAAAAUGAAAAUGAUGUUGGUUAGAAGCUUGAACUACAUAAGAAGAGCAUCAGAGAAUAAAUAAGUGAAGAUGAACAAAAUCUUUACUUGUUCUUAAUUGAUCUGUAAGGUAAUUGCUUGUUCAAAGUAAUAAAUGUAAUAAUGUGUUGAGUGAUUAUACCAUAUGGAUAAGUCAAAUGAAUGACAUCAAUGUUCUAAGGGCAGAAAUGAGAAAUUGGGAAUGUGUUGUUAUAAAAUGCCUACACUACACUUGAAGGCAGGCUUGUAUUUGGAAAAAAGUUUAUAUUGUAAACUCUAGGGCAACCAUUUAAAAAUUCGUAAAAAGAAUAACUGGUAUGAUAAGAGAUAAAAUAGAAUCAUAAAUUGUUCAAAACUAAAGGAAGACAGAAAAAGGAAGGGAUGAAGAGAGGACAAAUGCAACAAACAGAAAAGAGUUACAAACAUGAUAGAUAUUCAUUCAGUUAUAUCAACUAUCACUUUAAAUGUGAAAGGUCAUUUAAUUUCCUUCUGACUUGUACUGUAAACUAGGAGAUGGAUAAGUAUUUUAAGGUGCUGAUAAGCAGAAUACCAAGUCAACAGCUUUGAUUUGUUCAAAUUGUUUCUUGACUACAGGGAGAAAAAAAAAUAAAGGAUGUCAAUAUCUAGUGAUCCAAGCAACAUAUUGUUUUCUAGUAAAUUCAGAAAUCUGGUUGACUUUUUGUAUAUUGGUGGUCAAAUUAAGGUUGGCAUGCAUUUCCAUUGUAUGAGGUAUUAUGAGAUAUUUAUCACAUUGAUCAAAAUUUGGCAUGUGCUUGGGAUACAAAUAAAACAUAUAGCAAUUAGGAAAUCAGUCAAAUUUUCCUCUCACACCUUAUGGUGUAAAUUUCUUGCUCCUCAGUCCAUGGUGAGAGUAUGCUUUACCACCAUAGGCAUAGGUUUCUCUCACUGCAGACUCUUACUGAAGAGUUUAUGAAAGCUCACAGUAUUGAUGGGGGAGGGGGGAAACUUGGCUUCCAAUAGGACUUUUACCAGUUACCAGUUGCAUGCCCUUGGGCAAGUUAUUUAAUA
rnacentral:lncRNA from 10 species